ACCAUUAUCGUCCAGCGGUUAGGAUGCCAGAUUUUCAAAUAAUUCAAACUUGAAUCCUCUGGAGACCGGGGUUCGAUCCCCCGUAAUGGUA
rnacentral:tRNA from 1 species